UCCAGCCUUUUCCUGCACCGGUCGGCCUGCCUGGUCACGGCCGGACUGGACCACGUGCACUGUGCGUGCUCCAGUCCGGCCGUGGCCUGGCUUUUCACUUCACGACAUUGUGAAGACUGGGCCGGCUAACGAUCAUUUCCGUUUCCUACAAGCACAAGGGGACCACGUGGUCGAAAGAAAGCAUAAAAGGAGAGCACUCGCAGUGCCCCACCGUUUUCCUGCACCGGUCGGUCUGCCUGGUCACGGCCGGGCUGGACUACGUGCAUGGCGCGUGCUCCGGUCCGGCCGUGGCCGGGCUUUUCACUUCACCACAUUGUGAAGACUGGGCCGGCUAACGCUCUUUUCCGUUUCCUACGCGCACAAGGGGACCACGUGGUCGAAAGAAAGCAUAAAAGGAGAGCACCCCCAGUGCCCCACCGUUUUCCUGCACCGGUCGGCCUGCCCGGUCACGGCCGGGCUGGACUACGUGCAUGGCGCGUGCUCCGGUCCGGCCGUGGCCGGGCUUUUCACUUCACCACAUUGUGAAGUCUGGGCCGGCUAACGUUGUUUUCUGUUUCCUACGCGCACAAGAAUCUGAGCAAGGCACAUACCCGUAUGCUCUCCCCCUGGGGUGCACAUGGACACGGCGAUCAUCGGGACCGUCUUUCAUGGGCGCCCCCAUCCAAGCGAAGGCAGCGAGACCUUUUUCUCAAGGGGGAUCACGUGGUCGAAAGAAAGCUUCAAAGGAGAGCACUCGCAGUGCUCCAGCCUUUUCCUGCACCGGUCGGCCUGCCUGGUCACGGCCGGACUGGACUACGUGUAUGGCGCGUGCUCCGCUCCGGCCGUGGCCUGGCUUUGCUCUUCGCCACAUUGUGAAGACUGGGCCGGCUAACGUAUAUUUCCGUUUCCUACACGCACAAGGGGACCACGUGGUCGAAAGAACGCUUAAAAGGAGAGCACUCGCAGUGCACCAGCCUUUUCCUGCACCGGUCGGCCUGCCCGGUCACGGCCGGACUGGACUACGCGCAUGGUACGUGCUCCGCUCCGGCCGAGGCCUGGCUUUUCACUUCACCACAUUGUGAAGACUGGGCCGGCUAACGUUGAUUUCCGUUUCCUACGCGCACAAGCAUCUGAGCAAGGGACAUACCCGUAUGCUCUCCCCCUGGGGUGCACAUGGACACGGCGAUCAUCGGGACCGUCUUUCGUCGGCGCCCCCAUCCAAGCGAAGGCAGCUAGACCUCUCUCAAGCAGCGAGAUUGCCCCAAUGGGGGGCCCUUGGCUUGCCGACUCCACGCCACCUGAAGCUGCCUUCGAUUUGUCUACAGUGAUCUUUGUCCCAGUGCUUCUGGUCUACGGCCUCGACUGCCUACUAUGGACUUCAACUUUUUUUUUUUUUGAGAACGUCUUCGAAACCAUAACUGCAAGUUCCGUGUCGACGUCAUGUUUCUCCAGGGGGACGAAGAAUGCAAGCGAUUUCAAGUUUACUGAAUAAAUCCACGACUGGUUUGCCCGCCUUCUC